AAGUUUUUAUUAUAAAAAGUAUAAAUUAUUUACAUUAAUUAGGUUAAAAACUUU
rnacentral:tRNA from 1 species